rnacentral:rRNA from 1 species
CUGGUUGAUCCUGCCGGACCCGACUGCUAUCGGAGUGAGACUAAGCCAUGCGAGUCGUGCGCUCCGGGCUGGCGGAGCGCGGCGUACGGCUCAGUAACACGUGGUCAACCUACCCUGCGGACGGCUAUAACCCCGGGAAACUGGGGCUAAUAGCCGAUAGGGGAUAGGUGCUGGAAGGCCCUGUCCUCGAAAGGCCUAACCACCCAUGCCGUGGUUAGGCGCCGCAGGAUGGGACUGCGCCCUAUCAGGUAGACGGUGGGGUAACGGCCCACCGUGCCUGUAACGGGUGCGGGCCCUGGGAGGGGGAGCCCGGAGAUGGGCACUGAGACAAGGGCCCAGGCCCUACGGGGCGCAGCAGGCGCGAAAACUCCGCUAUGCGCGAAAGCGCGACGGGGUCACUCCGAGUGCCGCCCGCUGAGGGCGGCUUUUGCCCAGUCCAAAAGGCUGGGCGAAUAAGGGGAGGGCAAGUUUGGUGUCAGCCGCCGCGGUAAUACCAACUCCCCGAGUGGUCGGGACGAUUAUUGGGCUUAAAGCGUCCGUAGCCGGCCCGGUGUGUCUCUGGUCAAAUCCGGCGUCUCAAGCGCCGGACCGCCGGAGAUACUACUGGGCUAGGGAGCGGGAGAGGCGGGCGGUAUUCCCUGGGUAGGGGUAAAAUCCUAAGAUCCAGGGAGGACCAUCGGUGGCGAAGGCGGCCCGCUAGAACGCGUCCGACGGUGAGGGACGAAAGCUGGGGGAGCGAUCCGGAUUAGAUACCCGGGUAGUCCCAGCCGUAAACGAUGCAGGCUAGGUGUGUGGACGCCUUAGGGGCGUCCAUGUGCCGAAGGGAAACCGUUAAGCCUGCCGCCUGGGGAGUACGGCCGCAAGGCUGAAACCCUAGGAGGCCCUUAACUGAUAUAAUGAGGAAGGGUUCUCCUAGGGCAGCACACUUAAAGGAAUUGGCGGGGGAGCACCACAAGGGGUGGAGCCUGCGGUUCAAUUGGAGUCAACGCCGG